CGAGCAUCUAAGGACAGAUUACAAUAUGAUCAUUGUGCUUGUUCCACAGGUGCCUCCAAUUCAUAUAGUAAGCCAGGUAAAAGCUGGGACGGCCUCUCUUUGGAGCCACUGAGCGCUGUGUUUCCUCCACUCAACUUUACCCUUUGUUGGCAUCGGCCGAUCAGCUACUGUUGGAGCAGCUCACUUUAAGUUUACAUUCUGCUAAGUCAUUUCAAUCACAGAGUUCCCCCUGACCUGCUGGUCUGAUCAAAGACCUCUUUGAUUGCACUGAACCC